rnacentral:rRNA from 1 species
GCAGCAGAUCCAUUUUCUGCCACCGAAUACAUUAGCAUGGGAUAAUGGAAUAGGACCCUGUCCUCCUAUUUUCAGUUGGUUUUGGCAGCGCGAGGACUAGGGUAAUGAUUAAUAGGGAUAGUUGGGGGCAUUAAUAUUUAAUUGUCAGAGGUGAAAUUCUUGGAUUUAUGAAAGAUUAACUUCUGCGAAAGCAUCUGCCAAGGAUGUUUUCAUUAAUCAAGAACGAAAGUUAGGGGAUCGAAGACGAUCAGAUACCGUCGUAGUCUUAACCAUAAACGAUGCCGACCAGCGAUUAGGAGACGUUGAAUACAAAACACCACCAUCGGUUGCGGUCGUCCUUGGCGUCUCGGUUUCGGCCGGGGCGCGGGGAUGGCUUAGCCCGGUGGCACCGGUGAAUGACUCCCCUAGCAGCUUGUGAGAA